rnacentral:rRNA from 1 species
GACGAACGCUGGCGGCGUGCUUAACACAUGCAAGUCGAACGGAAAGGCCCUGCUUUUGUGGGGUGCUCGAGUGGCGAACGGGUGAGUAACCCGUGAGUAACCUGCCCUUGACUUGGGGAUAACUUCAGGCAACUGGUGCUAAUACCGGCUAGGAGCUCCUGCUGCAUGGUGGGGGUUGGACAGUUUCGGCGGUUGGGGAUGGACGCGCGGCUUACUAGCUGGUUGGUGGGGUAGUGGCUUACCAAGGCUUUGACGGGUAGCCGGCCUGGGAGGGUGAACGGCCACAUUGGUACUGAGGUACGGCCCAGACUCCUACGGGAGGUAGCAGUGGGGAGUAUUGCACAAUGGGCGGAAGCCUGAUGCGACAACGCCGCGUGCGGGAUGACGGCCUUCGGGUUGUAAACCGCUUUCGCCUGUGACGAAGCGUGAGUGACGGUAAUGGGUAAAGAAGCACCGGCUAACUACGUG